rnacentral:rRNA from 1 species
UACGUAGGGGGCGAGCGUUGUCCGGAUUUAUUGGGCGUAAAGAGCUCGUAGGCGGUUCGAUAAGUCGGAUGUGAAAUCUCCACGCUCAACGUGGAGGCGCCAUUCGAUACUGUCGUGACUCGAGUCCGGUAGGGGAGUGUGGAAUUCCCGGUGUAGCGGUGAAGUGCGCAGAGAUCGGGAGGAACACCCGUAGCGAAGGCGGCACUCUGGGCCGGUACUGACGCUGAGGAGCGAAAGCGUGGGGAGCAAACAGG